GCCCGAAGAAAUGGAGUGCUUGCACAAAGUGGAUUCAAUUGAGAUGACUGAGUGGCGGACGGGUGAGUAACGCGUGGGUAACCCUGCCCUAUACAGGGGGAUAGCGAGUUGGAAACGACUGAUAAUACCGCAUGAGCGCACAGUACCGCAUGGUACAGUGUGAAAAACUCCGGUGGUAUAGGAUGGACCCGCGUCUGAUUAGCUAGUUGGUGAGGUAACGGCUCACCAAGGCGACGAUCAGUAGCCGACCUGAGAGGGUGACCGGCACAUUGGGACUGAGACACGGCCCAAACUCCUACGGGAGGCAGCAGUGGGGAAUAUUGCACAAUGGGCGAAAGGCCUGAUGCAGCGAACCGCCGCGUGAGUGAUGAAAGUAUUUCGGUAUGUAAAGCUCUAUCAGCAGGGAAGAUAAUGACGGUACCUGACUAAGAAGCACCGGCUAAAUACGUGCCAGCCGCCGC
rnacentral:rRNA from 1 species